rnacentral:rRNA from 1 species
UACGGGGGGUGCGAGCGUUGUCCGGAAUCACUGGGCGUAAAGCGCACGUAGGCGGAUCUUUAAGUCAGGGGUGAAAUCCUGGAGCUCAACUCCAGAACUGCCUUUGAUACUGAGGAUCUCGAGUCCGGGAGAGGUGAGUGGAACUCCGAGUGUAGAGGUGAAAUUCGUAGAUAUUCGGAAGAACACCAGUGGCGAAGGCGGCUCACUGGCCCGGUACUGACGCUGAGGUGCGAAAGCGUGGGGAGCAAACAGG